GUAUGCUAGGCAAGCACUCAUCCAUUUGA
rnacentral:piRNA from 1 species